UACGGAGGAUGCAAGCGUUAUCCGGAAUGAUUGGGCGUAAAGCGUCCGCAGGUGGCUAUGUAAGUCUGCUGUUAAAGAGUCUAGCUCAACUAGAUAAGAGCAGUGGAAACUACAAGGCUAGAGUACGUUCGGGGCAGAGGGAAUUCCUGGUGUAGCGGUGAAAUGCGUAGAUAUCAGGAGGAAUACCGAUGGCGAAGGCAGGUCUCUGGGCUAGAACUGACGCUCAUGCACGAAAGCGUGGGGAGCAAACAGG
rnacentral:rRNA from 1 species